rnacentral:rRNA from 1 species
UACAGAGGUCCCAAGCGUUGUUCGGAUUCACUGGGCGUAAAGGGUGCGUAGGUGGUGAGGUAAGUUCGAUGUGAAAUCUCCGGGCUUAACCCGGAAAAGGCAUUGAAUACUAUCUCGCUUGAGGGUUGGAGGGGAGACUGGAAUGCUCGGUGUAGCAGUGAAAUGCGUAGAUAUCGAGCGGAACACCAGUGGCGAAGGCGAGUCUCUGGACAACUCCUGACACUGAGGCACGAAAGCUAGGGGAGCAAACAGG